GACUUUGACUCUCCCAACUGCUUGCCCUUAACUUCAGGACAAGGGAUUGCACUGACCAGGAAAAUAGGUGCCAUCGCCCCCUGAAGUAGAGUUCUCAUCUGAGCCAGCCAACAGUGUAACCGCUCUCUUUUCCCCAUCAGUGGUUCCCUUUCUACAUCCGUUCACAGAUACAGAGUUUCCCUGCAGGGAUGUAGAGGUGGCAGCGGCAGUGGCAGCGGCAGUCUGAGCUAAUGGGCCGGAGCUCCAUCACGUAGCUCUCCUGGAUGGACUCAGAACUGGGAAAGGCUGUCAUCCCGUUUCCCAGAAGAAAAAUUAAACGAUUUGGUUUAUCUGCAAUAGACAAUGCUUGGAUAUUAUCGUCUCUUCCCCUCGCCUCUAAACGUGUUCCUGUCUCUGCCUCUGGUUAUCUUAAUGAGAAAUGUAUAAUUCUGAGCUGGCAAAGUCACCCCCAGAAAGAGCCCCCAUCUCUGAGUCCCCAGAGGUGACUGCUGGAGGGACAGCUGCCCAACCCCAACUGGACUGUAGGCGAUCUAUUGUUAUGGUAAGCCACCGCAAUGUUGGAGUCUUUGUUAUAGUAGCAAGCUUGGCUUUUCCUGCCAUCAUCCUGCCUGACUUCU